UGCAAGUCGAGCGAAUGGAUUAAGAGCUUGCUCUUAUGAAGUUAGCGGCGGACGGGUGAGUAACACGUGGGUAACCUGCCCAUAAGACUGGGAUAACUCCGGGAAACCGGGGCUAAUACCGGAUAACAUUUUGAACCGCAUGGUUCGAAAUUGAAAGGCGGCUUCGGCUGUCACUUAUGGAUGGACCCGCGUCGCAUUAGCUAGUUGGUGAGGUAACGGCUCACCAAGGCAACGAUGCGUAGCCGACCUGAGAGGGUGAUCGGCCACACUGGGACUGAGACACGGCCCAGACUCCUACGGGAGGCAGCAGUAGGGAAUCUUCCGCAAUGGACGAAAGUCUGACGGAGCAACGCCGCGUGAGUGAUGAAGGCUUUCGGGUCGUAAAACUCUGUUGUUAGGGAAGAACAAGUGCUAUUGAAUAAGCUGG
rnacentral:rRNA from 1 species